GGUUACUGCUAUCGAGGUUCGACUAAGCCAUGCGAGUCGAAUGUAGCAAUACAUGGCGUACUGCUCAGUAACACGUGGACAACCUACCCUUAGGCCUGGGAUAACCCCGGGAAACUGGGAAUAAUACCGGAUAUCUCGCGAAUGCUGGAAUGCGUCGCGAUAGAAAGCUCCGGCGCCUAAGGAUGGGUCUGCGGCCUAUCAGGUAGUAGUGGGUGUAACGUACCUACUAGCCUACGACGGGUACAGGUUGUGAGAGCAAGAGCCCGGAGAUGGAUUCUGAGACACGAAUCCAGGCCCUACGGGGUGCAGCAGGCGCGAAAACUUUACAAUGCUGGAAACAGCGAUAAGGGGACCUCGAGUGCCAGGAUACAAUCCUGGCUGUCGUAAUGCCUAAAAAGCAUUGCAUACAAGGGCCGGGCAAGACCGGUGCCAGCCGCCGCGGUAACACCGGCGGCUCGAGUGGUAACCGCUAUUAUUGGGUCUAAAGGGUCUGUAGCCGGCUGACUAAGUCUCUUGGGAAAUCUGACAGCUUAACUGUCAGGCUUUCAAGAGAUACUGAUCGGCUCGAGACCGGGAGAGGUGAGAGGUACCUCAGGGGUAGGGGUGAAAUCUUGUAAUCCUUGAGGGACCACCAGUGGCGAAGGCGUCUCACCAGAACGGAUCUGACGGCAAGGGACGAGAGCUAGGGGCACGAACCGGAUUAGAUACCCGGGUAGUCCUAGCCGUAA
rnacentral:rRNA from 1 species